AUCUUACUUUCAAUGUCAUCAAAAAGGGCUGAAGAGAUAUUUCUGCAUUUGAAGUGUAUCACAGCCAGCUUUGAUGGGCAUUGCAAUAAGC
rnacentral:pre_miRNA from 1 species